UCUCCGUAGGUGAACCUGCGGAGGGAUCAUUACAGAGUUUUUGCCCGCAAGGGUAGAUCUCCCACCCUACGUUAUUCCUUCUCUGUUGCUUUGGCGGGCCGUCCGGCCUCGGUCAGGCCACCGGCUCCGGCUGGUGCGCGCCCGCCAGAGGACCCCAAACCCUAAAUGUCAGUGUCGUCUGAGUACUAUAUAAUAGUUAAAACUUUCAACAACGGAUCUCUUGGUUCUG
rnacentral:misc_RNA from 1 species